CCCAUUCGGAUCUGAGUGCCGGCGCAAAGGACUCGCGGCUCACUCCUCCCUUCAUUUCCCCACCGUUUCGUGAUAGUCCCUUACGCGAUUUGAAUUUUUAGGGACAGUGUUGUCCCCUGGAGAGGCCGCGGGUGGAGGCUGGAGGCUGGGUACUCGGCCCCUUUAAAGAGGAGGGUGAAGCAGCAUAAGGGACUCGUCCCUGGAGAGGAAGCACUGUCCGUUGCUGAGGGCGUGGGUAGAGGACGAGAUGGAGUGAAUCCCAGCAUUUUCAAGGCAAGAAAGGACCCCGCAAAAUCGUUAUUUCUCUUGGAACAUCGAGAUGGAAAUCCAAAAGGAAGUUCAGCGUUGCCUGUUUGCUUUGGGGAGAUCUCGAGAAAAUACAGAAGCUUUGUCAGAGCCUAAAGAGGAAGUCGAGAACUGUAAUGAGAUGACAGUUCACUCUCUGACCCCCACACAGCUUGUUUUUGAAGCAACUUGUUCCUGGACCCCCGGUCCAGCUUGUUUCAUGAAAGCUGAGAGGUGGAUGUCCUGUAUUUCUGCCACUGGCUUGCCCUUAACUUCACCUGUCACUUCAGCUCUCAACCCCGCCGUCAGAGGCAGUCCUGAGCCAUCUUUUGCGCAUCGUUCCUGCGACUUAAGAGCUGGUCUCCUGGACUCCCGAUGUCUGUGGCCACAUCUGUUUCCUUGCGAGGCGCCUCUCUGCCUCACGUGCUGCUGCGAUAUCUGUUCUCAACUUUCUUCCGCCAUCCACACAUCCACAGAGCGCUGAUCAUUCGAACCUUGAGUAAUUGCUAGAAGAUAAAGCAUUGCAACCAAAGAUUGGAGAGGGCAGUCCAUUCUUAGAGAUGGCACAAUGAUUAUCAAUAAAUACCAAAAUAAUGAUUAAAAUGUCAAUAAAUACCAUCCAAUGAUUAAAUAUAUCAAUUGUUUCCUGUAGCUAUCCUCCCAGAGAGAGCAGUAGUUAAUGAUGGCCAGAUAAAUAUGUUUUUAUUUUUUGGGGGGGAGAGGGGCUGCCCCUGUGGCAUAUGGAAGUUCCCAGGCUAGGGGUCAAAUCGGACCUGCACCUGCCUGCCUACACUACAGCCACAGCAAUGCCAGAUCUGAGCCGCAUCUGUGAGCUACACCACAGUUCACGGCAAUGCCAGGCCCUUAAUCCACUGAGCGAGGACAGGGAUUGAACCCACAUCCUCAUGGAUGCUAGUCAGGGACUUAACCCACUGAGCCACAGCAGAAACUCCCUAAAUAUGGUUUUCAAUAAAGACAAUUUAGAUUACUCUGAAAAACUAGAAAAGUGGUGUCAUAGCACUUUUAUAUACACUCAUCUUAAACUUAGAAAAACAAGUUUUAAGGGGUGAAAACGAUGGCUAUGGAGUAACCUCAUUUUUUUUUAAAUCUUAUUUGAAAUGUAUCUGUUAUUCAAGACUAACCUAAGCUCGCCCCCAUCACCUAACAACUGAGUAUUAUUUUCUACAAGCUGCAAAAGGGCCUCCGUAGGCUCAGAGCCGGCCUCUCCCCUGGGGGCUGCGUUAGGGCUGCUUCGGGAGCCUCGGGCUGGGCUGGCGGCCACCCGCCUUCCAUUCUGUUGACCUGUGUGUGUGUCCUUCCUCCCCAGAGCCGGCUGAGCGCACCAAGUAUCUUUAUCUUCAGAAAAACAGAGGACAACUCACUCAAACCAGAGUGGCUCCGAUCGUCACCUCUCCCGAGGGUGUUAACGCUCUGAACAGAAGAUAGGAAGGAAGAGGACGGGAGCCUCGGGAAGAGAAUCGAGAGGGCUUCCCGCCGCCCAGACCUCGAACCGCGACUGUGCGCUUUCGCCUGUCCCUUGAGCAAUCACAUGUGUAUUUAUUUCCUGACUCAAAACAUAAUUCAUAAUCUAAUGAGGUCUUUCAGAUUAGCUUCUUUCGGUGGAUAUGAAAUUCUUGUAGGUAUACAAUUUAAAUGACAAGUACUAUGCCUUCCACGGCUGAAGGCCAAAUGGAGAGAACGCUUGGAAAAUCAGAGAAUCGAUGGAAAACUUUAAAACUCCCGGUGGCCGCGCUGACCAGUAAAACCGGACGGUCCGGAAAAGGGACGUGCCGGCAGCGCGAGCACCCGCAUUCUUCUGCCUUCAUCGCCUGCAGUAAAACUUUGCCGCAAAGGUCAGCCCCUCCUCCAUCGCCACUCGCGCGAGUCUUUUCUUCUCUAAGUGCUAAUAUUUUUAAGAAAAAAUGCAAUGAAGGUAUCUAUCUGCAAGAUAUCGCAGAUUUUCAUCAAUUUUCAUUUGUUGAAUAAAUAAAAGCAGAAUAUUGAAGAUUGACGUAUGUUUUUAUUUAUUUAUUUAUUUAGUCUUUUCAGGGCCACACUUGUGGCACAGGGAGGUUCCCAGGCGAGGGAUCUAAUUGGAGCCUCGUCUGCCAGCCUACACCACAGCUCACGGCAACACCAGAUCCUUAACCCACUGAGCAAGGCCAGGGAUCGAACCCGCAACCUCAUGGUUUCCGGUCGGAUUCGCUCCGCUGCGUCGCGGCGGGAACUCCAAGAUAUACGUAUGUUUUUAUAUAGGCUUUUAGCUGGUUUUUGGGGUCUACCUUCUCCAAGCAUUUGGUUGGUCAGUUACAUGAAUGGGUGAGAAAUUUUAAAAAGAAAAAAGGAAGGAAGAAGGGAAGAAAUUCAGCCCCUCCUCCCCAUACAAGCGAGAAGGAGGUUCACCGCCACAGCCAGCAAAGGCCAGUGCCCUCAGCUGCCAAAGCCCGUCGUAAAAGCUCCGGAUGCGAUUCUACCCGUUUCUACUCGUCAGGAAAGGGACUGCAUCGGUCUAUUAGAGCUGACUUCACCUAGACUCGCCACGGCAACUCUUCUAGAUGCAGACUGCCUUACACUUUUUACGGUCGUAUUUUAUUUAGUAUCAAAAAAAGAUAUGUGUGUACACAAUAUUUUAUAUAAAUAUAUAGUCCUAUACAUACACAGUGUGACAUUUUUUACUUACAUUCACACACAGCGAGAGAAAGCUGUAGUGUUCUUUCCUGUCUCGAUUUAAAGAUAGUAGUAAAAAAUGGACAGAACACCGUAAAUCAGCUGCAAUGGAAAAAAUAA
rnacentral:lncRNA from 9 species